rnacentral:tRNA from 1 species
UGUGGCUCAGUGGUAGAGUGCUUGCCUUGCAUGCAUGACGCCCUGGGUUCGAUUCCUCAGCA